CAGUCGCCAGGUAAUACGGAGGGUGCAAGCGUUAAUCGGAAUUACUGGGCGUGAAGCGUGCGUAGGCGGUUCGUUAAGUCUGUUGUGAAAGCCCCGGGCUCAACCUGGGAAUGGCAAUGGAUACUGGCGAGCUAGAGUGUGUCAGAGGAUGGUGGAAUUCCCGGUGUAGCGGUGAAAUGCGUAGAGAUCGGGAGGAACAUCAGUGGCGAAGGCGGCCAUCCGGGACAACACUGACGCUGAGGCACGAAAGCGUGGGGAGCAAACAGGAUUAGAUACCCGGGUAGUCCCUGUCUCUUAUACA
rnacentral:rRNA from 1 species